AGAGUUUGAUCCUGGCUCAGGACGAACGCUGGCGGCGUGCUUAACACAUGCAAGUCGAGCGAUGAGAUCACUUCGGUGAAGGAUUAGCGGCGAACGGGUGAGGAACACGUGAAGAAUCUGCCUUCAACUCUGGGAUAACUCCGGGAAACCGGGGCUAAUACCGGAUAUGAGCCUUGAUCGCAUGAUCGGGGCUGGAAAGUUUUUCGGUUGAAGAUGACUUCGCGGCCUAUCAGCUUGUUGGUGAGGUAAUGGCUCACCAAGGCGACGACGGGUAGCCGGCCUGAGAGGGCGACCGGCCACACUGGGACUGAGACACGGCCCGGACUCCUACGGGAGGCAGCAGUGGGGAAUAUUGGGCAAUGGAGGAAACUCUGACCCAGCGACGCCGCGUGCGGGAUGAAGGCCUUCGGGUUGUAAACCGCUUUCAGCAGGGAAUAAGCGCAAGUGAAGGUACCUGCAGAAGAAGCACCGGCUAACUAUGUGCCAGCAGCCGCGGUAAUACAUAGGGUGCAAGCGUUGUCCGGAAUUAUUGGGCGUAAAGAGCUCGUAGGUGGUUUGUUACGUCGGUUGUGAAAUUCAGGGGCUCAACCCCUGACUUGCAGCCGAUACGGGCAAGCUAGAGUUUGGUAGGGGAGACUGGAAUUCCUGGUGUAGCGGUGGAAUGCGCAGAUAUCAGGAGGAACACCGAUGGCGAAGGCAGGUCUCUGGGCCAAUACUGACACUGAGGAGCGAAAGCGUGGGGAGCGAACAGGAUUAGAUACCCUGGUAGUCCACGCCGUAAACGGUGGGCGCUAGUUGUG
rnacentral:rRNA from 1 species